rnacentral:rRNA from 1 species
AUUGAACGCUGGCGGCAUGCCUUACACAUGCAAGUCGAACGGCAGCACGGGAGCAAUCCUGGUGGCGAGUGGCGAACGGGUGAGUAAUAUAUCGGAACGUGCCCAGUCGUGGGGGAUAACGUAGCGAAAGCUACGCUAAUACCGCAUACGAUCUAAGGAUGAAAGCGGGGGAUCGAAAGACCUCGCGCGAUUGGAGCGGCCGAUAUCAGAUUAGCUAGUUGGUGAGGUAAAGGCUCACCAAGGCGACGAUCUGUAGCUGGUCUGAGAGGACGACCAGCCACACUGGGACUGAGACACGGCCCAGACUCCUACGGGAGGCAGCAGUGGGGAAUUUUGGACAAUGGGCGCAAGCCUGAUCCAGCAAUGCCGCGUGCAGGAUGAAGGCCUUCGGGUUGUAAACUGCUUUUGUACGGAACGAAACGGCGAGCUCUAAUACAGUUUGCUAAUGACGGUACCGUAAGAAUAAGCACCGGCUAACUACGUGCCAGCCGCCGCAGUAA